AGAAUCAACGCUGGCGGCGUGCCUAACACAUGCAAGUCGAACGAGAAAGUGGUAGCAAUACCAUGAGUAAAGUGGCGCACGGGUGAGUAACACGUGACUAACCUACCCUGGAGUGGGGGAUAACUGAGGGAAACCUUAGCUAAUACCGCAUAAUACCCACGGGUCAAAGGAGCAAUUCGCUUUGGGAGGGGUCGCGGCCGAUUAGUUAGUUGGCGGGGUAACGGCCCACCAAGACUGUGAUCGGUAUCCGGCCUGAGAGGGCGCACGGACACACUGGAACUGAAACACGGUCCAGACUCCUACGGGAGGCAGCAGUGGGGAAUUUGCGCAAUGGGGGAAACCCUGACGCAGCAACGCCGCGUGGAGGAUGAAGUCCCUCGGGACGUAAACUCCUUUCGAUCGGGACGAUUAUGACGGUACCGGAAGAAGAAGCCCCGGCUAACUCGCGCCAGCAGCCGC
rnacentral:rRNA from 1 species